ensembl:lncRNA
AUCACACUGUGCUGAGUUUAGUCAGAAGGCUGGUGAUGUGCAGAAAAUAAUGCAAAGAUUUCUGUGGACUUUAUCCCUUUUCCAAGUUCUGAUAUGUGUGACAAUGAAGGUCAAGGCUGAAAGUGUUUUUAUUGGAACAGAAGGAGGCAGUGUGGAUAUCUCCUUAUCGAGACAGAAUAAAAGUCCUGAAGCUACAGAGCAAUCCGAUGCCUCCACAAUGACAACAGCUACUGCAGCUCCUACUGUGUCCACUCGUGAUCCAGUGUCGAGGCAGAAUCAAAGCCCUCACAGUGAUAUCAAGUACUGCAUAUUUACAGAAAGUGACUGAACUGUGAGAAGCUCCAUGGUGAAAUGAUGUGUUCACCUUGAACAAAAGACCAGAGUUUAUUCUGGUCAGGAUCACAGCAAACUGGAACACUGGGAGCAAGGCUGGAAUACAUCCUGGAUGAGAUGCUAGUCCACACACGCGCGCACACACACACUCACACUCACUCUUGACUGCUGCCUAUAGCUUAUUCUGUCUUGCUCACAUAUUUAAACUGUUAGCUCAUAACAUUGUUCCAGUUCUCAAAACAACUAGCUGAAAGUGAGAUCAGACCUGUGGUGUGUUACGGGAACAGAAACAGAGGCCUGAUGUGUCUAAAACAUCCUGUC